AGCACCGCACCCCGCGGGUUCCGGAUCAGCCCAGGGUGCUCUGCGGGGGGGGGCUCCCCCCCAAGGCCCAGGGACUCCCCGGGACCGGGAGGAGUGCGACCCCAGAAGUCAGGCCCGGGGAGCUGUGUAGACUGAAGCGGGACCCCCUCCCCAGCUCCCAUCGAUCGGGUGGUCUCCGGGGGAAGAGCAACCCUGGCAGGUCCAGCACGGCGAGCUUCCCCGCUUGCUGAUUUCCCUUGGAAAAGCCUGCUCUCUGGAAAUCCUCGACGCGGAGGCUUCCAGCAGGUCGUGGGGCUGGCCGCGGCCUUGGGGUCCAUGGAAACACAGUAUUUCCUGGGGUUGCAAGCAGGAAAAUGACUCAUAAAACUUAGCCUCUGUCCUCAAGAACUGGAACCCAGCAGGAGAGAGAAGACGUUUGACCAGGUUUGGAAGUGACUUCAGAGAGUUUCAGCAGCCAGUGAUAUCUGACAGUUUGUGGUGCAGCAGCAGCUGGCCACAGAGACUUCCCCCACCGGCUCCUUCUCUGCUCUGAGAGAAUGGAAACAUUGGAUCUCUGGCGCCCGUGGAGAACUCAGGGCCUAUUCACUAGGAUGCACACAGGCCCACGGGGAGAACAGCUUCCUGCCAUAGCACUCUUGACCAUACUAGUGGCUGGGGGAGGCUUGAGUCCUGGGUGUAAAUCCCAGAUUAUCUGCACUUGAAGGGGCAAUGUCUGGCUCUAGAAAUUGUGAGGUCCAGAGAGAUAACCCCAGCACUCGGGAGGCAGGGAGGCAGAGGUGGGAGGAUCAACUGACUAACAACAGAAAGAUUUACCCCAGGAUUCAGGAACUGCUUGAAUUUUUUUAAAAAAUUAAUUUAUUUGCACUCUGAGAGAGACAGAGAGAAGAGACACACACACAGAGAGAGAUAGGGAGCACACCAGGGUCUCUA